rnacentral:rRNA from 1 species
AAUUGCGUUUCACUAAGGUCCCAUUCUUCAUACGUAUGAAUAGCGUCUUAACUCACUUUUACCGCUACCUAUUUGUAGUAAGCGCUCAUACUAUUGGGACCGGAAUGCAACGAGCGCGACUGCACCACCUAAUUGCCCCUUAUCUACCAUUAAUUACUUUAUUAACCGCCCUGUACGGGCACCGGGGCCUUACCUUUACUGAAACUAGCUGGACCGCUGCUUUCCUUUAAGCCAGAGGAAGGUUGCGGCAAUAACAGGUCUGUGAUGCCCUCAGAUGUUCCGGGCCGCACACGUGCUACAAUGAUCAGCACAAAGAGUAUUACCUAUCUUCUUAUACCUAACCCAAUAUGUGAAACUUAUUGCGUAAGGGUAUUGUCUUAACGACUUAUCCGCUUUAGCGCUUUAAGAUUAUUGGGCGGUUAUGCCUGCCUCGAGAGAGUGUACAGGGCAGCAAGAGUAAUGAUUCCCUCGUUUUUACUACUAAUACCGCGCUUGGUAACAUAUUACACUCGAUUAAGUAGGGUCUUUGCUUCUAAUAGCAAUUGCUAUCCUCACCCUUAGGCUCUAAGGAUAUUACUAUCUCUAAGGUCUACAGGGAGGUGUAUAUGGCGCACUUACUUAUUCACGGUGGGGACAGACCAUUGUUAACUGUUGGUCUCGGUCUCAACUAGGAAUGCCUCGUACGGGUUGGUUCACCAAACCACCCGGAAUAUGUCCCUGCCCUUUGUACACACCGCCCGUCGCUCUUAUCGAUGAACUCACUUGUGAGGCUGAGGGACUGCGUCUAUUUAUACCCGUGUAAUCCUAAUAUCUCACAUACAUUUCGCUAAAGGCGAUUUUGCUUUAAGGAUUUACACGACCUUACGCACAAACUUAUUCGACCAAGUGGGUUUAAAGGAAAGAGAAG